AUGGCGUUUCUAGCUGAAACUCCCGCCAGCCCUCCCGAGCACGCCGCGCGCCGCGUCUUCCUCCAGCUCGUCUCCGCGAUCAUCUACCGCCACGUGCGGGGUGUCACCCACCGCGACGUCAAGCAGCGGAAUGUCCCACCGCGACGAGCAUACGGCAACCUCAAGGUUUGCACACCACCUGAGUCCCACCGCGACGACGGCCGCCUGCACACCACCUGUGGGACGCCCGCCUUCGCCGCCCCCGAGGUGCUCCGCCGCAAGGGCCACGAUGGCGUCAAGCCCGACGCCUGCUCCUGCGGCGUCAUCCUCUACGUCCUACUCGCCGGCCGCCUGCCGUUCGACGACUCCAACAUCCAGAUGUGCAGGAAGGCGCACCGCCGCGAGUACACGCUCCCCCAGUGGUGUCCCCGCCGACGCGCCGCCUCAUGA
rnacentral:rRNA from 1 species